CACGUAGGGUGCGAGCGUUGUCCGGAAUUAUUGGGCGUAAAGAGCUCGUAGGCGGUCUGUCGCGUCUGCUGUGAAAACUCGGGGCUUAACCCCGGGCCUGCAGUGGGUACGGGCAGACUAGAGUGCGGUAGGGGAGACUGGAAUUCCUGGUGUAGCGGUGAAAUGCGCAGAUAUCAGGAGGAACACCGGUGGCGAAGGCGGGUCUCUGGGCCGUAACUGACGCUGAGGAGCGAAAGCGUGGGGAGCGAACAGG
rnacentral:rRNA from 1 species